ensembl:lncRNA
GUAAGACAGUUCUUUUGGGUAGCACUCAGGACUUGUAACCUCUUCCCCCUUUGCUGUGGCUCCUGUGAUGUUUCUGUGGCUGCCGAGGCCAAGGUACCCAUAGCACAGCACGGCUGCUGCAGGCUCCAAUGCCCUCCAGAGGCGGCAGAGACCCCGCACACUUUGCUGAAAGGACCAAACCCUUAAAAAAAUGGUGUCUCUUCCCACUUCUCCAACAGGGGCUCUGCCUGAGGACAGUACCCUUCACUCCCCUUUCUGCCAUUCAGUCCCUCUUACCUGACAGAUGAGGAUCAGGUGGUGCGUGCCCAACCAACAGCCCUGGUGGCCAGAGAUGGCACUCUCGCCACCCUAGGGCCCAGUGCAGAUCCAUGCCCAGGCCACAGCGAUAGUUCAAGACACAAAGAAGGAUGCGUCUUCCCUUGAGAUUCUCUCAGGAGGUCCACCCACGCUUUACAGCCCUCCCUAUGCACCCUCCAUCCUGGCGACCCUCUCCAGUCAGACCAGCUGCCAAGGCUUCAUGACCAGCACCAGUGUUCCCCCCACGAACUAACGGCACCUCAGCCAUUACUUCAGUCUCUCCUUCCUGCAAGGUGAAUUCCCCUGGAGCCCUCUUGCUCUUUCUUCCCAUCUGCCUGUCACCAGGGCCACAUCAUGCACUGUUGAACCAUAAGAUGGGCCCAAUUCCUCCCCUUGGUUCUUCUGUAAAUUUGCCUGACUCUCCACUCCCCUCACCUCUCCCCGGGAACAGCCAGGCUCUGAGAAUAUUGAAUAUAUUGAACAGGGAGCAAAGGUAAAGGUGCAACAUCUGCUCGUGGAGACAGGAUUCAACGUCUUGUUAUGUACAGCAGAGGAGUUAAGAAGUCAGAUAAACCUGGCUUCGUUACUUACCCAUGUGCAACACGCGGCUACUUCAUUAAGUUGUUAAGAUAACUAGAUAGGGUAACGCAUGUAAAGUGCUUGGCAUCGUGCCGGGCAUGGAGUGAGUGCUCAAUACCUGGCAUGUGCCGGUUACUAGGUCUUUGUCUCUCGGUUCUAGACCCACCCUUCUACGCUCUGCUUUGUGGUGCUGGCUCUGUCUGGGACUCUGCAGAACACUUUUCUGCUUUACCAGCUACUCCCUGUUGGCCUCUGCCUGGACCAACUAGAGGGAGACCUGGAGACUGGAGGAGGGAGGAGGGCCUUGCUCCUCUCCUGGGGGCUCGUAUUUACUGCCUGUGCCGGUGGGCAUCAUGUCAGCAGUGCUCACUCAUCCCAGCAGAGGCAGUUCCCUCCUGGAGCAGGCUGAGGCAGCACUCCCCUCCGGGCAGGGCCAGCUUUGUUGCACGCUGCAGAGACCCAAGCAACGAUGCGCUGGCGCCCCGAUCCCAGAGCUCCCUGCUCGCUCCUCCAGCUUCUUCCUCAUUUCCCCACCUCUUGGAGGAUAACUAUUUCCUGCUACUGCUCUGAAUCCUUCAUGUCCUCUUUUUACCUUUUCAGUCACCUAGUCGACAACCUUAUGCCUGGUUAACAGUUUUUGAUGUGAAAUUGUCACUGCUCAGACAGCUGAUGUGGUUUCUGUCUCCUGACUGGACCUUGAGUGAUAUCACAGGCUUUCCGUUUUACCAGUGACCAAACAGGGGUUUGUGUUGGUUAAGGAGUCUCCCAAGGUCACAGAGUGGCUCUUUGGGAUUGGGAUCCAGGUCUACCCGCUCUAUAACACACCACACUGCCCCCUCUCCAGGUCACUCUCAUUUUCAUCCCUGCCUCGGCCUCACCCAGCACGUGGUGGGAUGUAUUCCACCCACUACACCAGGGCCUGAAGGAAGGAUCAGGCACGGCUGCUGCGUGGCUAAAAAUGUGACACGAGUGCCUCCAGAAGCCGGUCUCCUCUCAAAAGCCUCUGUUUAAGAAAGUUAUAUUAACCGACUUCUGAUUUUUUCAUUAAGUAAAAAGGAAUAAAUAGGAAAUCAGUAAUAAAGCUUUUAGAUGAUGGUGAAUGGAAAAGGGUUCCCUAAGGGUUGUGCAAUCCUCUUGAUGGAAGCUGAUGCUCUAGGCCUGACCCAGAACUCUGUGGGGAAGAGAGCCCCUCAAAACACAGCUAUUUUAAUUCUACCGUUAUCUUAAAAAGUGUUUUACAGAGCAUUUUUUGAUGGAAGACAGGUGGUCAGAGGAAAGAAAGGGAGUUAGGCCAAGAGAACUCUUUGACAUCAAACAAUGAUGGACUGCUCAUCUUUAAAAGAUGAGAAAGCAGCAUCCUAAUAGACUAUUUGGGGAAAAGGCACAAUGAGAUUACUGGGAAUCUGGCCAAAGUAGGGACAAUUAUUGGAUGUUUCUGACUUUGUUCAGAAUAUUCCUGGCACUUAAUGUCUCUAUAAUGCCAUAGAGAUAGAAGUUUUUCCUAAGAUGAAGGAUGCCACAGCCCAUUAUCAGAAAUUGAGCUAUAUUUUAAUUUUACUAUAAUGAAUAUCUAAUUAGAAAUGAUAUCCCAAAGAAAACAAAUGAGUUGUUAAAUAAUCAUUGUCAAGAAAUAAUGAGCAAUGUCGUUAGAUGAAUGGGAAAGACCUACUGUUUGUGAAAACAGAAAAUCCAGUCCAGCUGGUGGGUCACCACCCAGGAAUGAGGGCAGGAUUCCCGUCCAGGAGGAGAUAAGUUGUUAUGCUUGAUGUUUCUCCUCUAGCAAAACAAGGUCAUGUAAGCAAAGAGUCAUUUUUAUAAGCCUGAAGAACUAAGGCCACUUAAUUUUGUAUCACCACAAAAGAAUGUUCCUAGGAAACUCACUGACAAAUAUAAUUUUUGUAAGACAUUGGUUCUUAGAAUCAUGGCAGGGAGUUGAAUUUAAAAAUUUGCUAAAUAUUAAGUGUUGCCAAAUCAAAGCCAAGAAAAGUGAAUAUCUAGCUGUUUCUCUCUUUUCUAGUAUCCCAAUAUCUUGCUUUUUCACGGAGUGUGUUUUACUUGGCUAUUUCUUGGAGGCUGCUGUUGUUUGUGCUAUUUAAGCACUACUGAAUUUUAAAGAAGGAAAAAUGACAGAAUCUACUGACUUUUCUACUGGUCUGAAAGGGCUUCCUAAUGCAGCAUAUAUUACAAUCUUUCGUAUGACUGUGACCAAGAACACUGUUUUAGAGCAUUGCCUAAAAUUAUUUUUCUCCAUUCUUCAAGUCAGCAAGGAAAGCAGAGAGAAGUCAGCAAUGUCAGUUGUGUGGUGUCCUGGAUAAGAUCACAAGCUUCAAGGGCCAGGAGAUCUGAGUUUGGAGUCUUGGUUCAGUCAUUCACUAGCUGUGUGAUCUUGGGCAGAUUUCUUAACCUCUCUGAGCCUUAAUUGCCUCAUCUAUAAAAUGAGGUGAUGAUAGUAGUCACCUCACAGGAUUGAUGCAUAAAGUAGAUUAUAUGCCUGGCACAUAAUAUGUGCCCAGGGAGUUACUGUUAAAUGAAAAUACAGGGGCCUGGAACAAGAUCGGAGUGAAGGUUGCCUCUUGCCAAAGCAUCAACUGUGUAUGAUAAAGAAAGACUUCCAUGAAGUUCAUUGAAACUAUUACUCAUCCAUAUUUAUUGAACUGUUGCUGCAUAAAAAGAGCUUAGAAUGUGGGGCUGGCCCAGUGGCGUAGUGGUUAAGUUUGCAUGCUCUGCUUUGGUGGCCCGGGCUUCAUGGAUUAAGAUCCUGGGGGUGGACCUAUGCACCGCUCAUCAAGCCAUGCUGUGGUGGCAUCCCACAUAUAAAGUAGAGAAAGAUUGCCAUAGAUGCUAGCUCAGGGCCAAUCUUCCUCACCAAAAAAAAGAGCUUACAAUGUGCUAAGUAAGAUACAACCCAUGCUUUCAAGGACUUUACAGUCCAGUAGGGGCAUAAAAGAACUAUCCACAUAACCGGUACAGAGGCUAAGCAGGGACCUGAGGAUGAGACCAGCCCUGACUCUGGGGAGCCUCAGGAUGGAGAGUCAUGGGGCUCCCGAGAGCCAGAGGUGGGCAGUUCACGUGGUAAGCUUGUCCCGGGGGAGGUGACAGGGCCAUUUCAGGUGGAGGAAACAAUAUGAACCAAGAAACGGAGGUGGCAGACUCUGAAGUCUUUUGGGGGAACAAUGACGUGUUUGGCCGAAGCACAGGGUGGAGGUGGGAGAAGAGGAGGAAGUAAAGCCUGCUGGAGCCAAGCUGUGGAGGGCCCCGAAUGGUAAGGAAACUAGGAGUUUUGUUGGUUGUUUUGUUUUGUGUUUAAAUAGGUGGUAAUAGGUAGCCAAAGGUAGCAUCCAAUGUGCUCAAGUCUCUUUUGCCUUCUUCCUCUCCAGCUAGGCCCCGUCUCUCUCCCCUCCCUUCCAGCCAUACUUGUUGAAAGUCUUCCCUAAAUACUUUGUCUGAAAUUCAGAUGCUUCUAAACCACGGCAACCUGGCUUCUGGCCCAUCAUUCUGCUUGGAGCUGCCUUAUCCUGCACAUCAGUGACCUUCUUGUUGCCACUUUGUGGUCCCUAACCCGUUGACACACGGACUGUUGCUCCCUCACCGUCUUCUCUUGGCUUCCAUAACCCAACCUUUCCUUGGAUUUCAUCCACCCCAUCGGGCUGCUCAUUCUCAUCUCCUUAGCAGGCUCCCUCCCUCUGCCUAACUCUCAGUCUACCUUGGGGAUCUGACCUCACGCCUCCUCCCUUCUCCUCCUCCUCUCUCCCUGAGGGAUCUUACCGCUCCUCUUCGGUUCCACACCGCUUGGCUGCCGUGCUGAGAAUGCCGAGACCCCCAUCUGCAGCCCAGCCAUCUCUCCUGUGCUCCUGAACUACAUUUCCGCUCGUUUUACAGACAACGCCGCUUGAUGUCCCUCAGGCACAUUAAGACCCACGGGUCCAGCUGAACUCAGUGGCUUCCCCCAUCCUGUGGUCUCUGUCUUAACAAAUGGUAUGACAGUCCACUCACUGCCUGAGCCAGAAAUCCGGUGUCAGCUCUCUCCUUUCCUUCAUUUCCCACGUCCAGACACCGAGUGUCAUUGUUUCUGCCUGUGCCUGCCCCUGGAACGCAUCUACCUCUCUCCUUCCCCGUUGUCAUUGUCCUAUAGUCUCUGCUGGUCCUAAGCGGUCUUACAGUCUUACCUUUUCCCUCCAUCCAUUCUCCUCAUUGAAAUCAGGUUGGUUCUUCUUUCUUUUUUGAAAUGGAAAUAUUGCCCCCUUACUUGAGUCCUGCAGUGGUCUCCGUUACUCUUAGGCAUGAGUCGCAGACUCAGCACAGCUUAUUGGCUCUAUAGGAUCUGCAGACCUGCCCCUGAAAUGGCAAGUGGAUUUUUCCAGUUUAAUGGCUCCCCAUUGCCCUCAGGAUACAGGCCACAUGUGGGGUCCCUAAGACCUUUCGUUUUCUGGCUCCUGCCUGCCUCUCCAGCUCAUCCCUGGACUCUCGCCUUUGUGUCCCCUGCCCUCCAGUCACCCUGAGCCUCUUCCGGGUCCUGGGAUGGGCCACGGUCUCCUCUGUGCCCAGCCGUGCACCUGCUGCUUCCUCUGUGUGGAGCGUUUGUCUCCCUUUCCGCACCGGGCAGGACUUCUUUAUUUUUUUUACGAUUUUCCUUGGUCUCUUCCUCCAGGGAACCUUCUUAAGCUUUGAAGUCUAGGUUAGGGGCCCCUACUAUGUGUUUCCAUUGUCCCUUUUGUUGCCCAGAGCUUUGAUGCUUUUGCAUUGUGAUUGUCAACACACUUGUCAGAUUUCCUUGUAAUGUAGGCUGUAAGGUCUGUGUAGGAAGGUCUGUGUCUAUCUUACCCACUCCUAUAUUCCCAGCACCACCCACCAGUGCGUAGCACAUAGUAGGUAUUCAACGAGUAUGUGUUAGGUGAAUGAAUGCAUGAAUUCAACAGAAGUUAUUACUAUAAUAGCAAAAAAAUAGAAACAGCAGCUAUUAAAUAUUAUAAUCCAUUCAAUCCCUAUAUAUUAAGGACCUAUCACGUGCUGGGCACUGGGUUAAGAAACAGAUUAUGAAAAAGCUACAGAAAUAUGGCAACAUGUUUAAAACGCAAUCUAAUGUAAAAUAAAUAAAUAAACAAAACCAGAAUACAAAACUGCAUGUACACUAUGAUUACAGCUCUGUAAAGUAUGUAGGCAGCAGCCUGGUGUUGUGCUGUGGUUUUUAAGGUUUUCUAUUUUUAGUUAAAGGCUUUUUGUUCAAAAGAAAUGUUAGAAGCCCAACAUAUAAAACAGAAAAGAGCAGAGAUUUUCUGCUUGACGUGGGGGCGGGGGCCAGAGCCUGCCCGCGCUUCCCCCGCCUCUCCCCUCUCCUCUGCCCCUGCAUGGCCCCCACUACUCCCAAGCCGGAAGGCAGCAGCCACUGUGGCAUGUUCACGGAGCAUUAUUUGAAAAGCCCCAGAAUAGGCUUCUGGUUAAAGAUUGCAGUUGAAAAGCAUGCACUUUUCUUUGAUCCCUUCAAAAUGCCACUAAAAUGACAGCAAAGCAGCCCAAAAGGCCCAAGUCUACAAGGACAGAGAGAGUGAGUGAGGAAUCAAUGUCGACUCAUUUUUUGGAACUUGAACCGGGGCUGCAUGAGUGGAGGCUAACCCAGCAGAGCUGAGAAACCCGAAACCUGAGUGUCUGCAGGUGGGGACUGUUGAAAAGGAAGCCAGCUCGUGGCACGGCACCCCAGAGAGGCCCUGGAAUUGGAGGCAGGCUCUUCUGAGACAGAGCGGAAGAGGCAGGGCUGCACACAGGAGGUUGGUGGAAAGUCCUCUGAAGGAGCAGUUGGAUCCCUGACUCCUUCGCCUUCUCUCAGCAUCCAAAUGACUACCUUUCUCCCAGCCCAGCAGUAGCCAGGUUUAUGCUCUGCGGAAAGUGAGCCAGAAGAGGCUCCAGACUCAGGGACACAGGCCAGGCAAGGGGGGCAGAGACACCUUACAGACAGAGGAGAAGUAACUGAUUGGUCUAGAGUUGGACGUGUGACCCAAACUGGACCAACUGAGUCCAUCUUUGCCAUUUUUAUAUUGAGGCUGAGAGAGAAAAAGCAGAGUCAGAAGCCAUGUUUCCCCUCCACAUAGAGGAAGCCCAUCUGAGAUAGGAAAGAAUGGAGUCAAACACAGAGGAGAGAGAAAGAGAAAGAAAGAGAGGGAGAGCAAGAGAGAGGAGAGAGAGAGGGAGAGAGAUCGUGUGUCCUAAACGUUCUAGUCCUUGAGGUUACUGGUUCUGACUGGUUCCUAUCGCCCUCCCUUCAAUUCUGUAAACUACCCGGUACCCUUCUGUGUUAGUUUCCAAGGGCUGCCAUAACAAAGUGCCAAAGAUUGGAGGCUUAAACAACAGAAAUUCAUUUCCUCAUGGCUCCAGAGGCUAGAACUCUGAGAUCAAGGUGUCGGCAGAGUUGCUUUCUUCUCAGGCUUCUCUCCUUGGCUUAUGGAUGGCCGUCUUCCCCCUUUGUCUUCACAUCGUCUUCGCUCUGUGUUGUCUGUGUCCUAAUCUCCUCUUCUUAUAAGGUAACCAGUCAGACUGGACUAGGGCCCACCCUAAUGGUCUCAUUUUACUUUGCCCCCUUGAAGGCCCUAUCAUCCAGAUACAGUCACAUUCUGAAGUGCUGGGGGUUAAAAGUUCAGUAAAUGACUUUGGGGGGAGGACACAAUUUAGGCCAUAACAACUAAUGUGGACAAGAAGUAAAUAGCUUUUGAAGUAACUUAAGCUAUUUCUAAUUUACUUUCUACCACUUGCACCCAAAGAGCUCUGACUUCUGGUUCGCUCAGCUCUUGUGUCCUGCCUGCCUUGUGGGUGUGACGGUCUUCCUUAACUCUUUGCCAAAUCUGCACUGCCAGUCACCUUUCCAUGUUUGUUUCUUAAAACGAGAAG